rnacentral:misc_RNA from 1 species
GACGAACCGUGCGAACGUUGUUCGGAAUCACUGGGCUUAAAGGGCGCGUAGGCGGGCGAUCAAGUCGGAAGUGAAAGCCCCCAGCUCAACUGGGGAAGUGCCUCCGAUACUGAUUGUCUCGAGGAAGGUAGGGGCACGUGGAACUUCCGGUGGAGCGGUGAAAUGCGUAGAGAUCGGAAGGAACACCGGUGGCGAAGGCGACGUGCUGGACCUUUUCUGACGCUGAGGCGCGAAAGCCAGGGUAGCGAAGAGG